AACGAACGCUGGCGGCGUGCUUAACACGUGCAAGUCGAACGGAAACGCCCUGCUUUUGUGCGGUGCUCGAGUGGCGAACGGGUGCGUAACACGUGAGUAACCUGCCCUUCACUUUGGGAUAACUUCAGGAAACUGAGGCUAAUACCGUACAGGAGAUCCUGCUGCAUGGUGGGGGUUGGAUCGUCGCGGCGGUAGGGGAUGGAAUCGCGGCUUAUCAGCUUGUUGGUGGGGUAGUGGCUUACCAAGGCUUAGAAGGGUAGCCGGCCUGAGAGGGUGACCGGCCACAUUGGGACUGAGGGACGGCGCAGACUGCUACGGGAGGCAGCAGUGGGGAGUAUUGCACAAUGGGCGGAAGCCUGAGGAAGAGGCGCCGCGUGCGGGAUGACGGCCUGCGGGUUGUAAACCGCUUUCGCCUGUGACGAAGCGUGAGUGACGGUAAUGGGUGAAGAAGCACCGGCUAACUACGUG
rnacentral:rRNA from 1 species